ensembl:lncRNA novel transcript
UAGAACAGAGUGGAGUUCAAGUCCUGAAUAUCCUUGUUAAUUUUCUGUCUCAUUGAUCGCUCCAAUGUUGACAGUGAAGUGUUAACUCCUAUUAUUGUGUGGGAGUCUAAGUCUCUUUGUAGGUCUCUAAGAACUUGCUUUAUGAAUCUGAGUGCUCCUGUAUUGAGUGCAUAUAUAUUUAGGAUAGUUAGCUCUUCUUGUUGCAUUGAUCCUUUUACCAUUAUGUAAUGCCCUUCUUUGUCUCUUUUGAUCUUUGUUGGUUUGAAGUCUUUUUUUUUUAUUUUUGAGGCAGAGUGUCGCUCUGUUGCCCAGGCUGGAGUGCAGUGGCACGAUCUAGGCUCACUGCAAGCUAUGCCUCCUGGGUUCAUGCCAUUCUCCUGCCUCAGCUUCCUGAGUAGCUGGGACUACAGGUACCUGCCACCACGCCCAGUUAAUUUUUUUGUGUGUAUUUUUAGUAGAGACGGGGUUUCACCAUGUUAGCCAGGAUGGUCUUAAUCUCCUGACCUCAUGAUCUGCCUGCCUCAGCCUCCCAAAGUGCUGGGAUUACAGGCGUGAGCCACCACACCCAGCCUAAAGUCUGUUUUAUCAGAGACUAGAAUUGCAACCCCUGCUUUUCUUUUUCUUUUUUUUUUUGCUUUCCAUUUGCUUGGUAAAUAUUCCUCCAUCCCUUUAUUUUGAGCCUAUGUGUGUCUUUGCACAUGACCGGGUCUCCUGAAUACAGCACUUCGAUGGGUCUUGACUCUUUAUCUAAUUUGCCAGUCUGUAUCUUUUUAUUGGGGCAUUUAGCUCAUUUACAUUUAAGGUUAAUAUUGUCAUGUGGGAAUUUGAUCCUGUCAUUAUGAUGUUAGCUGGUUAUUUUGCCUGUUAGUUGAUGCAAUUUCUUCAUAGCGUUGAUGGUCUUUACAAUUUGGUAUGUUUUUGCAGUGGCUGGUACCAGUUGUUCCUUUCCAUAUUUAGUGCUUCCUUCAGGAGGUCUUAUAAGGCAGGCCUGGUAGUGACAAAAUCUCUCAGCAUUUGCUUGUCUGUGAAGGAUCUUAUUUCUCUUUUGCUUUUGAAGCUUAGUUUGGCUGGAUAUGAAAUUCUCAGUUGAAAAUUCUUUUCUUUAAGAAUGUUGAAUAUUGCCCCCCACUCUUUUCUGGCUUGUAGGGUUUCAGCCAGGAGAUCCACUGUUAGUCUAAUGGGCUUCCCCUUUUGCAUAACCUGUCCUUUCUCUCUGGCUGCCCUUAACAUUUUUUUCCUUCAUUUCAGCCUUGGUGAAUCUGACGAUUAUGUAUCUUGGAGUUACUCUUCUGGAAGAGUAUCUUUGUGGCAUUCUCUAUUUCCUGAAUUUGAACGUUGGCCUGUCUUGCUAUGUUGUGGAGGUUCUCCUGGAUAAUAUCCUGAAGAGUGUUUUCCAACUUGGUUGCAUUCUCCCUAUCACCUUCAGGUACACCACUCAAACGUAGGUUUGGUUUUUUCACAUAGUCCCAUAUUUCUUGGAGGCUUUGUUUGUUCCUUUACAUCCUUUUUUUCUCUAAUCUUGUGUUCACGCUUUAUUUCAUUAAGUUGAUCUUUGAUCUCUGAUAUCCUUUCUUCCGCUUGAUCGAUUCAGCUAUUGAUACUUGUGUAUGCUUCACAAAGUUCUCGUGCUGUGUUUUUCAGCUCCAUCAGGUCAUUUGUUUUUUCUAAACUGGUUAUUCUAGUUAGCCAUUUAUCUAACCUUUUUACAAGGUUCUUAGCUUCCUUGUAUUGGGUUAGAACAUGCUCCUUUAUCUCAGAGGUGUUUGUUAUUACCCACCUUCUGAAGCCUACUUCUGUCAGUUUCUCAAACUCAUUCUCCAUCUAGUUUUGUUUUCUUGCUGGUGAGGAGUUGUGAUCAUUUGGAGGAGAAGAGGCGUUCUGGUUUUUGGAAUUUUCAGCCUUUUUGCGCUGGUUUCUCCCCAUCUUUGUGGAUUUAUCUACUUUUGUUCUUUGAUGUUGGUGACCUUCGGAUGGGGCUUCUGUGUCUGGAUGUCCUUUUUGUUGAUGUUGAUGCUAUUCCUUUCUGUUUGUUAGUUUUCCUUCUAACAAUCAGGCCCCUCUGCUGCAUGUCUGCUGGAGUUUGCUGGAGUGCCACUCCAGACCCUGUUUGCCUGUGUAUCUCCAGCAGAGGCUGCAGAACAGCAAAGAUUGCUGCCUGUUCCUUCUUCUGGAAGCUUCAUCCCAGAGGGGCACCUGCCAGAUGCCAGCUGGAGCUCUCCUGUAUGAGGUAUCUGUUGGCCCCUGCUGGGAGGUGUCUCCUAGUGAGGAGACAUGGGGGUCAGGGACCCACUUGAGGAGGCAGUCUGACCCUUAGCAGAGCUCAAACACUGCUGGGAGAUCCGCUGCUCUCUUCAGAGCCACCAGGCAGGGACGUUUCAGUCAGCUGAGGCUGAGCCCAUAACUGCUCCUUCCCCCAGGUGUUCUGUCCCAGGGAGAUGGGGGUUUAUCUAUAAGCCCCUGACUGGGGCUGCUGCCUUUUUUUCAGAGAUGCCCUGCCAAGAGAGGAGACAUCUAGAGAGGCAGUCUGGCUAAAGCGGCUUUGUGUGUGGAUAUUUGUUUUCCCAGCACUAUUUGUCAGAGAGACUAUUCUGUUCACAUUGUAUGUUCUUGGUGUCUUUGAAAAUUUAUUGACUUUAAAUGUGUGGAUUUCUCUGUUGUCUAUUGUAUUCUGUUAGUCUAUGUAUCUGUUUUUAUUCCAAUGCCUUGAUACUUAGUUUACUAUACUUGUGAAAAAAUGUCACUGGGAUAUUGUUAGAAAUUACAUUGGAUCUGUAGAUCACUUUGGGUAGUAUGGAUAUUUUAACAAUAUUAUUUAUUCAAAGCUAUGAACAUAUGUUUUAUUUAUGUUCUUCUGAUUGGAUAAUUUAAUCUAUUUACACCAAAUUCAUAGGAAAACACUGACUACUGUCAUUUUGUUAAUUAUUUUCUGUUUUUUAGAUCCUUUAUUCCUGUUUUGCCGUCCUCCUUUGUGAUUAGAAGAUUUUCUCUAAUGUGAGAGAAUGUUCAGGAGAGAAAAUCAGAAAUCUACAUUUGAAAAGUAUCCCACUAACAGGUAGGUGAUUCUUAUGUGCACGCAAGUUUCAGGAUUAAUGGUUGAUUUAAAAAUCAGUAAAAUGCAUUCCAAGAUAUAUACAUUCUAGAAAGCAGACAAAAUUAAUUACAAUUUCUUGAGAGGAGAUAUAAAUGUUUGGACACUUAAUCUGGCAAGAUUAAUUUGGCUACUUCAUAAAGGUGUCUAAGCAGAUACAAUAAGCACAGUAGGAAUGACAAUUAGAUAAUGCAGUGGGUAAGUGUAGUUGUAAUAAAUUUUAUUUCUUGUCUUAUUUAUUUAUAUUUGCUAUUUUGGAAUUUACUAUAAUGUGUAUUGUUGGAAAACUUACCAGCAGGUGGUAGCACUGUUUAACAAAUAUACCCCAGAUCACAAAGCAAGCCAUUGUGAAUAAUUUAUUGGCUACUAGAGCAGUAACAUUCAAAUAUGUCAGAAUAUUGGAUUGGGAUUCAGAAAGCCUGACUCCUGGUCCCAGCUGUAUUACUUACUGGCCCAAUCACUUUGGAAAGAUAAUUUAAUCUUAGUGUUUAGAUAACAUUGUAAGUAAAAUUGGGAUAAUAACUCUCUUGGCUUUUGUUGUUUAGGGUAGAAAAAGAAAAUGAUUUUGAAAUCAUGGGAGGGGUAGAAUGCUAGGUAAAUGCAAGCUAUCAUCUCUCCUUUUUCCCCCGCUACGUUUCUUGUUAUUCAGGCAUAUAUUUUAAAAUGUGACCCUAUUAGCAGUAAAGGUGGCCAUCACAGUGGAACUUAAAAGGACAGCACUCAUAAAUGUCAAAUGACUUCCUGUUGCUCAUGUGUUCAACUAAUUUUUGACUUUUUUUUCAGUUUUGUUUUUUUCCCAUGUAUUCU